CCUACGGGUGGCAGCAGUGGGGAAUAUUGCACAAUGGGCGCAACCCUGAUGCAGCGACGCCGCGUGAGGGAAGAAGGAACUCCUUAUGUAAAACUCUAUCUGCAGGGAAGAAAAUGACGGUACCUGAGGAAGAAGCACCGGCUAACUACGUGCCAGCAGCCGCGGUAAUACGUAGGGGGCAAGCGUUAUCCGGAUUUACUGGGUGUAAAGGGGGCGUAGACGGCAGUGCAAGUCUGGAGGGAAAGGCGGGGGCUCAACCCCCGGACUGCUGUGGAAACUGUACGGCUGGAGUGCAGGAGAGGUAAGUGGAAUUCCUAGGGUAGCGGUGAAAUGCGUAGAUAUUAGGAGGAACUCCAGUGGCGAAGGCGGCUUACUGGACUGUAACUGACGUUGAGGCUCGAAAGCGUGGGGAGCAAACAGGAUUAGAUACCCCAGUAGUC
rnacentral:rRNA from 1 species